CCUACGGGAGGCAGCAGUGAGGAAUAUUGGUCAAUGGACGAGAGUCUGAACCAGCCAAGUAGCGUGAAGGAUGACUGCCCUAUGGGUUGUAAACUUCUUUUAUAUGGGAAUAAAACGUUCCACGUGUGGGAUUUUGUAUGUACCAUAUGAAUAAGGAUCGGCUAACUCCGUGCCAGCAGCCGCGGUAAUACGGAGGAUCCGAGCGUUAUCCGGAUUUAUUGGGUUUAAAGGGAGCGUAGGUGGAUUGUUAAGUCAGUUGUGAAAGUUUGCGGCUCAACCGUAAAAUUGCAGUUGAAACUGACAGUCUUGAGUACAGUAGAGGUGGGCGGAAUUCGUGGUGUAGCGGUGAAAUGCUUAGAUAUCACGAAGAACUCCGAUUGCGAAGGCAGUUCACUGGACUGCAACUGACACUGAGGCUCGAAAGUGUGGGUAUCAAACAGGAUUAGAUACCCCGGUAGUC
rnacentral:rRNA from 1 species